CCUACGGGGGGCAGCAGUGAGGAAUAUUGGUCAAUGGACGAGAGUCUGAACCAGCCAAGUAGCGUGAAGGAUGACUGCCCUAUGGGGUGUAAACUUCGUUUAUAUGGGAAUAAAAUGUUCCACGUGUGGGAUUUUGUAUGUACCAUAUGAAUAAGGAUCGGCUAACUCCGUGCCAGCAGCCGCGGUAAUACGGAGGAUCCGAGCGUUAUCCGUAUGUAUUGGGUUUAAAGGGAGCGUAGGUGGAUUGUUAAGUCAGUUGUGAAAGUUUGCGGCUCAACCGUAAAAUUGCAGUUGAAACUGGCAGUCUUGAGUACAGUAGAGGUGGGCGGAAUUCGUGGUGUAGCGGUGGAAUGCUUAGAUAUCACGAAGAACUCCGAUUGCGAAGGCAGCUCACUGGACUGCAACUGACACUGAGGCUCGAAAGUGUGGGUAUCAAACAGGAUUAGAUACCCUUGUAGUC
rnacentral:rRNA from 1 species